rnacentral:tRNA from 1 species
UCUAAGGAUGAGUGAAAGUAAAAUUUCACUCUAAAUAAUAUACAUCGGUAAUGUUGACCGUCCUCAUUUCUCUUCUUAAAGUAAUGUUUCCUUCUUGUAGGGCCGGUAGCUCAGUUGGUUAGAGCACACCCUUGAUAAGGGUGGGGUCGAAAGUUCGAGUCUUUCUCGGCCCACCAAACUUAAAUGGGGGAUUAGCUCAUCUGGGAGAGCGCCUGAUUUGCAUUCAGGAGGUAGCAGGUUCGAUCCCUGUAUCCUCCACCAGGAAACAUUUAGUUAUUAAAACUGUAAAGAAAAAUAAUUUAUAUCAAUAUCUAUAUCCGAACAUUAAAAGUUAUUAUUUAAUGUUCAAAAUAAAAAUUUGAUCACAACACAGAAAAUUUUUCUGUGCAUAAAU